AACGCACAUUGCGCCCAUUGGUAUUCCAAUGGGCAUGCCUGUUCGAGCGUCAUUUGUACCCUCAAGCCUUGCUUGGUGUUGGGUGUUUGUCCUCUAGGACUCGCCUUAAAACAAUUGGCAGCCGGCAUAUUGGUUUCGGAGCGCAGCACAAAUUGCGGUCCUUCCAUGAAUGUCGGCAUCCAUGAAGCCCCCAUUUUCCACUUUUGACCUCGGAUCAGGUAGGGAUACCCGCUGAACUUAA
rnacentral:misc_RNA from 1 species